rnacentral:rRNA from 1 species
UAAUACGCAUGUGUCUAGACAAAGGUGCCUUCGGGUGCCGCUUUGAGAUGGCUCGCGGCCUAUCAGCUUGUUGGUGAGGUAAUGGCUCACCAAGGCAACGACGGGUAGCUGGUCUGAGAGGACGAUCAGCAACACUGGAACUGAGACACGGUCCAGACACCUACGGGUGGCAGCAGUCGAGAAUCAUUCACAAUGGGGGAAACCCUGAUGGUGCAACGCCGCGUGGAGGAUGAAGGCCCUAGGGUCGUAAACUCCUGUCAUAUGAGAGUAAGGCAUAUUAGUUAAUAGCUAGUAUGUUUGAUAGUAUCAUAAGAGGAAGGA